GCUUAACACAUGCAAGUCGAACGGAAAGGCCCAGCUUGCUGGGUACUCGAGUGGCGAACGGGUGAGUAACACGUGGGUGAUCUGCCCCUGACUUUGGGAUAAGCCUGGGAAACUGGGUCUAAUACCGGAUAUUCAUUUUUCCUCGCAUGGGGAUUUGUGGAAAGCUUUUGCGGUUGGGGAUGGGCCCGCGGCCUAUCAGCUUGUUGGUGGGGUAAUGGCCUACCAAGGCGACGACGGGUAGCCGACCUGAGAGGGUGAUCGGCCACACUGGGACUGAGACACGGCCCAGACUCCURCGGGAGGCAGCAGUGGGGAAUAUUGCACAAUGGGCGCAAGCCUGAUGCAGCGACGCCGCGUGAGGGAUGACGGCCUUCGGGUUGUAAACCUCUUUCAGCUCCGACGAAGCGCAAGUGACGGUAGGAGCAGAAGAAGCACCGGCCAACUACGUGCCAGCAGCCGCGGUAAUACGUAGGGUGCAAGCGUUGUCCGGAAUUACUGGGCGUAAAGAGCUCGUAGGCGGUUUGUCGCGUCGUCUGUGAAAUUCUGCAGCUUAACUGCAGGCGUGCAGGCGAUACGGGCAGACUUGAGUACUACAGGGGAGACUGGAAUUC
rnacentral:rRNA from 1 species